CAGUCGCCACGGUAAUACAGAGGAUGCAAGCGUUAUCUGGAAUGAUUGGGCGUAAAGCGACUGUAGGUGGCUUUUCAAGUCUGCAGUCAAAUCACAAGGCUCAACCCUGGACAGGCGGCGGAAACUACCAAGAUGGAGUACGGUAGGGGCAGAGGGAAUUUCCGGUGGAGCGGUGAAAUGCGUUGAGAUCGGAAAGAACGGCAACGGCGAAAGCACUCUGCUGGGCCGACACUGACACUGAGAGACGAAAGCUAGGGGAGCAAAUGGGAUUAGAUACCCCGGUAGUCCCUGUCUCUUAUAC
rnacentral:rRNA from 1 species